rnacentral:lncRNA from 1 species
GCUUAGAUCAGGGGUUCCCAAACUUUUCAGCUCGCGACCCCAAAAAUAAUCAUAUCAGUGGCUCGUGACCCCCAUUUUUCAAGGUGGUUGUACUGUAAAUAUGUAAACGUUGCAGACACAACUAUAGGCAAAUAUAAACAUGAGCUUAUUGACAACACAAAAAUGCAAUAGUCUAUUAGCCAUAUAAUGUUUUUUAAAGUAAUUUAUGGAUUUAAUUACAUUUUGCUUUUAAAAUUAAAGGCUGAUGACUGAUUGUUAUUUUUAUGUUGCUGUUACUUUAAUGCAACUAUUAACUAUAUUCUGUCGGUUAUGAAUAAAAUAUGGUAAUUCUAAUAGUUUAAUAAAAUUUAUUUGAGUUUUGGAUAUCACCAAGCGACCCCUUGUCAUUGUCCCGCGACCCCCCAGGGGGUCCCGACCCCCACUUUGAGAACCACUGGCUUAGAUAACUG